rnacentral:sRNA from 1 species
UGCCCGGACCCUGUCGCA